AUUGAACGCUGGCGGCAGGCCUAACACAUGCAAGUCGAGCGGAUGAAGGGAGCUUGCUCCUGGAUUCAGCGGCGGACGGGUGAGUAAUGCCUAGGAAUCUGCCUGGUAGUGGGGGAUAACGUCCGGAAACGGGCGCUAAUACCGCAUACGUCCUGAGGGAGAAAGUGGGGGAUCUUCGGACCUCACGCUAUCAGAUGAGCCUAGGUCGGAUUAGCUAGUUGGUGGGGUAAAGGCCUACCAAGGCGACGAUCCGUAACUGGUCUGAGAGGAUGAUCAGUCACACUGGAACUGAGACACGGUCCAGACCCCUACGGGAGGCAGCAGGGGGGAAUAUUGGAAAAUGGGGGAAAGCCUGAUCCAGCCAUGCCGGGUGUGUGAAGAAGGUCUUCGGAUUGUAAAGCACUUUAAGUUGGGAGGAAGGGCAGUAAGUUAAUACCUUGCUGUUUUGACUUUACCAACAGAAUAAGCACCGGCUAACUUCGU
rnacentral:rRNA from 1 species